CGGCGCAAGGGAGAGUAACGCGUGGAUAUCUGCCCUCGGCUCCAGAAUAGCUACGGGAAACUGUAGGUAAUGCUGGAUAAUAUCUCCGGAUUAAAGGUGUGAUUCCGGCCGAGGAUGAGUCCGCGUCCUAUUAGAUUGUUGGUGGGGUAAUGCCUACCAAGUCGAAGAUGGGUACCGGGUGUGAGAGCAUGGCCCGGCUCACUGGGACUGAGACACUGCCCAGACGUCUACGGACGGCUGCAGUCGAGAAUCUUCCGCAAUGGGCGCAAGCCUGACGGAGCGACGCCGCGUGCGGGAUGAAGGCCUUCGGGUUGUAAACCGCUGUCAGUUGGGAGGAAAUGCUAUGGGGUUCUCUCCAUAGUUUGACCGAUCUUCAGAGGAAGUACGGGCUAAGUACGUGCCAGCAGCCGCGGUAACACGUACCGUACGAACGUUAUUCGGAAUCACUGGGCUUAAAGAGUCCGUAGGCGGCUAUGUAGGUCAGGUGUGAAAUCCCACGGCUCAACCGUGGAACUGCGCUUGAAACCAUAUGGCUAGAGGGAGAUAGAGGAAAGCGGAACUGAUGGUGGAGCGGUGAAAUGCGUUGAUAUCAUCAGGAACACCGGUGGCGAAAGCGGCUUUCUGGGUCUCUUCUGACGCUGAGGGACGAAAGCUAGGGGAGCGAACGGGAUUAGAUACCCCGGUAGUCCUAGCUGUAAA
rnacentral:rRNA from 1 species